rnacentral:tRNA from 1 species
GCCCUCGUAGCUCAGGUGGAUAGAGCAACGGAUUCCUAAUCCGGAGGCCGCAGGUUCAAGUCCUGCCGUGGGCG